rnacentral:rRNA from 1 species
GACGGGGGAUGCAAGCGUUAUUCGGAAUUAUUGGGCGUAAAGCGUCUGUAGGUGGCUAAAUAAGUCUGGUGUUAAAUACUGAAGCUCAACUUCAGACCUGCAUCAGAAACUAUUUAGCUUGAGUACGUUAGAGGCAGGGGGAAUUCCCAGUGUAGCGGUGAAAUGCGUAGAUAUUGGGAGGAACACCAACGGCGAAGGCACCCUGCUGGGCCGAUACUGACACUCAAGGACGAAAGCUAGGGGAGCGAAUGGGAUUAGAUACCCCAGUAGUCCUAGCUGUCAACGAUGGAGGCUAAACGUUGUCCUUGCAGCGUUGAAGUUAACGCGUUAAGCCUCCCGCCUGGGGAGUACGCUCGCAAGGGUG